CUUCAUGCAGCUUGCCCCCCUCCCCACAUUCACAGCUUGGUGUGUUGUUAUUAUUACUAUGUCAUUCUUUACUUCACUGAUUACCCCAGAACUUCAUGUGUUUCUUUAUUUCAUUGCUCCAGGUGUGUCAUAUUCACUCAUCAUUGACUGAUGACCCCUGAACAGAUUGUCAGUGCCCUUCCUAACUUCAUGUGAUUCUUUAUUUCAUUGCUCCAGGUGUGUCAUAUCCACUCAUCAUUGACUGAUGACCCCUGAACAGAUUGUCAGUGCCCUUCCCAACUUCAUGUGUUUCUUUGUCAUUGCUCUUCCUCAUACAGCUUGCCCCCACACUCACAGCUUGGUGUGUAUAUUGUAACAAUGUGUUUCUUUAUUUCAUUGCUCCAGAUGUGUCAUGUUCACUCAUCAUUCACAGAUAUCCGGCCCUUCUUCAUACAGCUUGCCCCCUCCCCACAUUCACUGCUUGCUGUGUCAUAUUCACUCAUCAUUGACUGAUGACCCCUGAACAGAUUUCCGGCCCUUCUUCAUACACCUUGUCUUCCACCUUCACAGUCAUGGCACAACACUCAGGAGUGCUGUGAGUUGCAUGACACCUGCAGAGGCUCCAUACUACAGACUACUACUACUCGGUACUACAGAAACCGGAUCACUUGACAAGCCUGUGUCCUGUUUUGGCCUUCCACACUCUGUAGGAUUGCAUAGGCUCCAUUUCUUCUCCCACAUCACCAUUCCAAAACAACUCCAGAUGUUUCGUUUGUAUUAUGGCCAGUUUCUUUACAUCUGUUACACUACCUGUGUUUUGCACCCAAAACUGGACUGCUCUAUCUGUUUCUUGUUUUUUAUCAUUAUCACUUGCAUUGCUGUAAAUAUGUUCCAUUAGCUCAGUUUUGCAACUAUGAAGUGUACAGUUUUGUUGUUGUAUUACUGUUACGCUGAGCAAAAAGAAACCUCAAACCUUACUCUUAGGCCUAUGUGAAUUCUUCAUGCGUGUCGUGCUCUGUCAACAGUUUGAUGCUUACAAAGCAUUCCAAGUGUCUGUAUGAUGUUCUACCAUUAUGCUAUGCCUUCACACAGUUAAUAACAAAAGGUAUACAGUAUUAAAAAUGCAUAUUCACACUA